AGUGAACGCUGGCGGUAGGCCUAACACAUGCCAGUCGAACGGCAGCACAGUAAGAGCUUGCUCUUACGGGUGGCGAGUGGCGGACGGGUGAGGAAUACAUCGGAAUCUACUUUUUCGUGGGGGAUAACGUAGGGAAACUUACGCUAAUACCGCAUACGACCUACGGGUGAAAGCAGGGGAUCUUCGGACCUUGCGCGAUUGACUGAGCCGAUGUCGGAUUAGCUAGUUGGCGGGGUAAAGGCCCACCAAGGCGACGAUCCGUAGCUGGUCUGAGAGGAUGAUCAGCCACACUGGAACUGAGACACGGUCCAGACUCCUACGGGAGGCAGCAGUGGGGAAUAUUGGACAAUGGGCGCAAGCCUGAUCCAGCCAUACCGCGUGGGUGAAGAAGGCCUUCGGGUUGUAAAGCCCUUUUGUUGGGAAAGAAAAGCAGCAGGUUAAUACCCCGCUGUUCUGACGGUACCCAAAGAAUAAGCACCGGCUAACUUCGUG
rnacentral:rRNA from 1 species